rnacentral:rRNA from 1 species
GACGAACGCUGGCGGCGUGCUUAACAUAUGCAAGUCGAACGGAAAGGCCCUGCUUUUGUGGGGUGCUCGAGUGGCGAACGGGUGAGUAACACGUGAGUAACCUGCCCUUGACUUUGGGAUAACUUCAGGAAACUGGGGCUAAUACCGGAUAGGAGCUCCUGCUGCAUGGUGGGGGUUGGAAAGUUUCGGCGGUUGGGGAUGGACUCGCGGCUUAUCAGCUUGUUGGUGGGGUAGUGGCUUACCAAGGCUUUGACGGGUAGCCGGCCUGAGAGGGUGACCGGCCACAUUGGGACUGAGAUACGGCCCAGACUCCUACGGGAGGCAGUAGUGGGGAAUAUUGCACAAUGGGCGGAAGCCUGAUGCAGCAACGCCGCGUGCGGGAUGACGGCCUUCGGGUUGUAAACCGCUUUCGCCUGUGACGAAGCGUGAGUGACGGUAAUGGGUAAAGAAGCACCGGCUAACUACGUG